AUUGAACGCUGGCGGCAGGCUUAACACAUGCAAGUCGAGCGCCCCGCAAGGGGAGCGGCAGACGGGUGAGUAACGCGUGGGAAUCUACCCAUCUCUACGGAAUAACGCAUGGAAACGUGUGCUAAUACCGUAUACGUCCUUCGGGAGAAAGAUUUAUCGGAGAUGGAUGAGCCCGCGUUGGAUUAGCUAGUUGGUGGGGUAAAGGCCUACCAAGGCGACGAUCCAUAGCUGGGCUGAGAGGAUGAUCAGCCACACUGGGACUGAGACACGGCCCAGACUACUACGGGAGGCAGCAGUGGGGAAUAUUGGACGAUGGGCGCAAGCCUGAUCCAGCCAUGCCGCGUGAGUGAUGAAGGCCCUAGGGUUGUAAAGCUCUUUCACCGGUGAAGAUAAUGACGGUAACCGGAGAAGAAGCCCCGGCUAACUUCGUGCCAGCCGCCGCCGUAAGAC
rnacentral:rRNA from 1 species